rnacentral:lncRNA from 1 species
CUGGGAUACAACAGUGAUGAGAUAAGGCCUCGGACUUUACUGAUCGAACAUCUAAUGGAAGGUGGAAGAAGAGACCAUCACACAAUGACGGUGUUAUGGGGAACACAGGAGAUAAUAGUAGCAGAAUUUCACAAAAAAAUCAAAGAGGCAUUUGAAGUCUUUGACCAUGAGUCGAAUAAUACAGUGGAUGUGAGACAGUCUCACUCUAUUGCCCAGGCAGGAGCGCAGUGGAGUGAUCUCGG